AAAUAAUAAGGGCAAAACCUUUAUUGCCUGCCAUGUAAACCUUUGAUGAACAUUCAAACUGUUUCCAGUUUUGGGCUAUUAUGAAUAAUGCUGAUCAGAACAUCCAGGCACGAUUCUUCGUGUGGCCAUAUGUCUUCAUUUCCUUUGGAAGCCAAUAAAUGAUCAUCUGGAAAUCUGAGGGACAAGGGGGGAAGAAAUGCCACCCAGGACACACCAUCCUUUCCCCAGAUCCCUUUGUGUUCAGUUCAACAACUUCAUUCCCCCGAUCAGCCGCCGUGCUUGGCUAAAGCUUGCAAAGGAUCUGACGUGCCAAGCGGUGAGAAGCAGUGUGAAACACAGGAAGCUUUACUGUUUCCGAAGUGAGCAUUUUCAGAGUGCUGUCUCAUGGAGCCUGGACUUGUCACAAAUCCAGUUUCUUCAGCCACUCACAUGUCACAAAGAAAAUGAUGUUCCAAGGUCCAAGUCUCAACCAAU
rnacentral:lncRNA from 1 species